UCCGGCCAGCUGGCCGUGAACCGCACGGCGCAAGAACUCGGAGUGCUGGACGCCAGCAGCGCCGCUCGCUGCUUCUUGAAAGCUGCGCGGUCCCCGCCCCGCAUGUGAAAAGACGGGGGUCCCCGCGCGACGCCCGCCCGGGUUUCAAGGGGGCCCUGGCGCUCGCCGCCAGCUGCAGUAUCGCUCCCGGCCUGGUCCGGCUCCAGAAGUCGCUCCCUCCGGGGCCGCCCCACCUCGCGACCUGGGCGCAGCGUAUUUUUAGCCGGGACGCUGCGCCCGGGCGGGCCUCGAGCCGGCAGGCGCCGCGGGCCCCACGUGCACGUCCCCUGUCCCCGGGUCCGCGCUCCAGCCGCGGCCAAUCCCGGUGCCGGCGCGCCCUCUGCCGGCCGCUCCCGGAGGCGCCGGCUUCCUCGCGGUCCCGGGCACCUGCUCACCCUGCGGCCCUUCCCGAGGCGACGGUUCUCUCUGUCUCAACGCGGACAGAAAAGGGGGGGAGAGUGAGAAUCACGAGGCAAGGCCGGGAAGGAUGCAGAAAUGACCGCCCUCCCUCGGGCUGUUUAGGACCGAGGAACCUACGUUGCAGUCUUAAUCCCCACACCUGUGAAUUGCGACUGUGUUUGGAAAUAGGGUCGGCAGGUGUAAUCAAGUUCAGGGGGUGUCACUGAGGUGGCCCCUCACCCAGCGUGACUGGAAACUUCCAUGUAGAGGCAGCCGCGGAGGGAGGGUGCACCAUGAGGACGGGCCGACGCCCCGGUGCCACAAGCUGCAAGGAGCACCUGGGGCCAUCAGCAGCUGGAAGACGGAAGUGGCUUCUUCGGAGAGAGGACAGCCUUGCCGACGUCUGGAUUUCAGACUUCCCUCCUACAGAACCAACACUGGUGCCCUCCGAAUGAUGACCCUCUGAGAAAGAAAUGAGAAAACAAUGAGCUGAAUCACAGGACAGCCUCCAAAGCCAUGGAAAGUCUACAGCAGGGUCUCUGGAGAGUUCUACCCGAAUGUCUGAAUUUUAAUCUUGGGGAGUGGGUGUAAUCCCAGAAGGUGGGAAAGAAAUGUGACUUGCCAUUAAGGUACGAUCUGAUCAAUUGUAUUCAAAUCAGUUCUCAAGAGAGACACUUUUUUAAAAAAAGAUGUUAUUUAUU